ACUUAAAUAAUUUAAAUUUUAAAAUAUUGAUUUGUGGUUUCAAAUAUAUGAUUAUAUCAUUUUAGGUU
rnacentral:tRNA from 1 species